rnacentral:misc_RNA from 1 species
UAAUCUUUGGGUAAUUCUACUCUUCAGGGCAUGAAUUGGUUUUAAUUGUAAAUCUCAACUCUUUUUCUCAGUAUUUGGUAUCUAGGAGCUUGGAAAUUCAGCGAUGUCCUGGCCAUUUUCUUUUUCCCCAAUUAGAUAGAAUUGGUAACAUGUCCGGAAAUGGUUUCAAACGGCCUGUCGUUCGCGAAAGAUGCGUGACCUAGAACUCGCCUUUGUCAAUUGCUG